rnacentral:rRNA from 1 species
CAAUAGCGUAUAUUUAAGUUGCUGCAGUUAAAAAGCUCGUAGUUGGAUUUCGGGUGGGAAUGGCCGGUCCGCCGUUUCGGUGUGCACUUGCUACGCCCACCUUGCUGCCGGGGACGUGCUCUUGAGUUCACGCUCGGGACACGGAGUCGGCGAGGUUACUUUGAGUAAAUUAGAAUGUUCAAAGCAGGCCUACGCUCUGAAUACAUUAGCAUGGAAUAACACGAUAGGACUCUGGCCUAUCUUGUUGGUCUGUAGGACCGGAGUAAUGAUUAAGAGGGACAGUCGGGGGCAUUCGUAUUUCAUUGUCAGAGGUGAAAUUCUUGGAUUUAUGAAAGACGAACUACUGCGAAAGCAUUUGCCAAGGAUGUUUUCAUUAA